GGGCAUGGCACUUCAGGGGUGUCUCCUAUGCUGUUGUAUGUGCUCUGCUGUUGAGUCUUAGCCUCUUUUUCAUUUAGUCUAGUUGUCUUCAAAGGCUCUCUUUGUCUGUUGUGAGCAGUAUUUGGUCUCCAGCCGAAAUGGAGCAUAUUUUAACAAGGUAUGCAGUGGUCUGCUUGCAAAAUAAGACCUGCCCUUGUCACCACCAGAAUUGAGGCUCUUCACAAUGUGCCGGUCAGAAGAUGUAGUAUUGUCAGGGUUUGCACAGAUCUUCUGGGGAAUGGGCCAGCAGCACAUUGACUUCCCACUUGAAAGAUGAGAAUUUUAGUCCCUUAGUCCACCUCCUCUUAUGACAAAAAGAAGAUUUAGUGACUUGAAGUAACUUAUAUAAAUUCUCAGAACUAGUUAAAGAGCAAAGUAGGAAUCCAAAUCUACAUGCCCAAGUUCUUAACCAUUAUACAGCACUGCCUUUUCAAGUAUGCUGCUCUCUUCCCUUUUUCUCUAUGUCUCUAAGUUCCACUCUCCUUCACUGGUGCCCAGGACAAAGGUCACCAUGAUCCAUAUAUCUUGUGUGAAGAUGACCAUAGUCAACUGUAGCAAAGUCAUAUAACUCCUCUAUUAUUGGACUUCUCAAAUCACUCUAAGAAAAAGAUGAUUUCAAAUCCAGCCACAGGAGCCUUGCCUGAUACAGAAUUUUUCUCUUGAUUAUCAAGUAAAUUCUAAAAAAGAAGGAAAUACA